AAGAAGAGAAGCCGCGGCCCCUGCAGGACGGGGGCCUGUGUCGCUAUGGGUUCCCCCGCCGCCCCGGAGGGAGCGCUGGGCUACGUCCGCGAGUUCACUCGCCACUCCUCCGACGUGCUGGGCAACCUCAACGAGCUGCGCCUGCGCGGGAUCCUCACUGACGUCACGCUGCUGGUUGGCGGGCAACCCCUCAGAGCACACAAGGCAGUUCUCAUCGCCUGCAGCCACUGCACCAGCAGUCCUUGCGGCCGCCACCUAUUUGCAGAUGGAGCACGUGGUCCAGGCAUGCCACCGCUUCAUCCAGGCCAGCUAUGAACCUCUGGGCAUCUCCCUGCGCCCCCUGGAAGCAGAACCCCCAACACCCCCAACGGCCCCUCCACCAGGCAGUCCCAGGCGCUCCGAGGGACACCCAGACCCACCUACUGAAUCUCGAAGCUGCAGUCAAGGCCCCCCUAGUCCAGCCAGCCCCGACCCCAAGGCCUGCAACUGGAAAAAGUACAAGUACAUCGUGCUAAACUCUCAGGCCUCCCAAGCAGGCA
rnacentral:sRNA from 1 species